GGCGGCGCAUUCCUAGCAUUUCCAAACAGAUUACACUUAAUUUAAAUGCGUUGCCGUAUUAGUUAUAUUUGCAAGUUAGUAAAAAUUAUGUGUACUAAAUCAUCUUAAUCAAUCAUGAUGGAGUGAGUUCACCGCAGGGAUCGACGCAUCGCCCGUCAUACAUAAGCAGCAUCGGACGGUCGGCGUUGCUGCUUUAAGGCAGCUAUAUUGGUCGUCGCAUCUCUUAAAUUAACGGAGUAGAUACCCGCGGUCAUAAUUAAUUGCUCCAAGAACGCGUUCGUUACCCCCCUAAUCCCAACAACACCGCUUCAUCCUCUGUAGAUCGCCUUGAUCAUCGGCGGCUGGUGGCUAGCGGCACAGUGAGGCCUUCUUUUAUUUUAUCAGGAAGCUUUGGUCGGUUAAAUUUUAACUGGAUUGGGUCAACAAGUUGACCAGAAACGUCGUACCUCGGGACUAAGAACCGAUCAAAGACCGUGUUCUUAACGAUUUUGAUCAGGGUUUACUGAAAGAGAAGUCUGUUUCAAAGACCGUUCUGCAUUAAAGGCCACCGCAUGUCUCGUCCAAAAGAGAUGCAACCUUUUCUUUUGUCGAAGAAAGGGGCGUGAGACUUCAGAUCUCGUGGGAGAUCAACCAGACGUGCUUACGGUGGCCGUGGAUACCCAUCAUGAGAUUUGCUGCCUUAUGUCGCCAUUUUCGAGACGCCUGUAGUUUACGAGAGUUUAGGCCUCAUUUAUACGAACAUCUGCUGGGAGUUACGGUAUCACCUUAUACUUCUCUUGCAUUUUCUCUUUACAUCUUUCUCUCUCUAGACUAAAUUCUGUAUCAAAUUAUAUCCACCGGUAGUCUAGACUUUUCCAUUUGAUACGUACUUGGGGGCUGAGAUAUUACGUAGACUUGGCUAUAACUCAUGCACAAUGCUCUCUUCUAAAUUUUAUUUGAACUACUUAUGAGGUUAAAUCAAGGAAAAGGGAUAAACUUUUUCGAGAGUGGGUUCAGGAAUGCUGUACUUUGUCCGAUUUCUUAUUUUAAUGAUGUUGGACAAAGUGGCGUGUAAUAAUGGAUCAAUUGGUUGGUGAGGUAGAAUUGAUGCAAAUAAAACCCAUGGCAUGGGUGUGGAACAGAGGAAACAUAAUGGUAGGGUGGGUGGGGUUGUGGACAUCAUCAAUGAUGGUAAAUCAUAAGACAAAUAAGGGAGGAAUUCUGCUGCUUGGUGCAGUUCUUCCAACAUCUUCUGCUUCCCUUUUCCCUUGUUCCCAUGGUAAAAGAAAGUGGGGUAUACAUUUUAAUUUUAAUAGCUAGGUAGGUAUAGAUUAAUGUAUCUCGUUUAUAAGCUUCUUGAUGAGAAAAGGUAAAGAAAAUUAGGUUGUGGGAGCUGAAAAUUGAAAGAGGGAGAAAGGAAGAAACCUUCUAGGGCCGUGAACGAUCAUCAUGUAGAGAGAAAAAGUUGCCUUUUUGCCUACCAAGAUAAGCUUUUAAUAUCGAAGCUCAAAAAGAGGGUAAGAGCAUCACAGCGAGUUCUUUAAUUCUGACAAAGAAAUUGACUUCGUUGAAAGAUAGAUCAGAGGAUGGAAUGCGAGUGGUCAUCGUUAAUACUUGUGCUAUGCAUUAAAUAUCAAUUGUCCAUAUACUCAGAAGUCUUUGCUUUAAGUCUUUCUCCAUGGCACAGACUACACUAGCUCUUCCAGUAGAACUUUUGCUGGUCCUGGGUUUGUGCCUGUUGCACAGACCACAUUUUAUUUGUAGUUACAGCUCUCUGACAAAAUUAAUCUGUCCGCUAAUUAGCAGCUGAGACUGGGCCUAAGGGGCAGAGGCCACACCUGCACUUACAUUGUCAUUCAAGUGGUUGUAACAAGUGUUCUUUAAUCUACUCUAAUUCCUCCAAGUGGUCAUUGAACCUACGUGACACCACAGAAAAUGUUGAAGAACAAGACAUGGCCUUUGUUCCUGUUUAAGCGAGCGAGAGUUGGCGCUACAACCGAGGGAAGAAGACAGAUUUGUAGUAAGGCCGGAAAGGUUUGUGCUUAAACACUUUCCUUUUAGAUAGGAUGAUUUGAGAUGAAAGAAUUGUGGGACACGAUUGAAACCUUACUUCUCCACUUUGUCUCUCAUGGACAAUCCCUGCCUCACCCUCAAACUCACCCUCAGUAGUCCUCUCUUUUCCUCACCCACUCUCUCUCUUAUAUGGAACACAGAAUAUCUCCCUCGUUUGUUCAGAAGGAUCAUAAGUUUGGAGGCACUUGUAUCUCAUUUAUUCUGCAGUUGUUGUCAUGUGGGUUUAUCAAAGGGUUGCUUGCAGAGGUUAUUGGCAUUCUGUCCAUCUCCAACUCAUCCAUCUCUCGUGAACAUGGAGAAGCUUAUUGAUGGAGGUGGGCAUCCUGCCAACAGAUCUCUGUUGGCUUCUCUUUGUGAAACCCAUGUGAAGCUUAUAGAUUGCAAGUAGCCCGGGGAUUCAUUCUCUCAUAAAAUAGAAAAAACAGGGCACGCACUUAUAUGAUGAGAAUACGAAAGAAUGGUAAAACAUGCAGCUCCUUUUUUGUUUGUUCUUUUGAUUGGACAUAUGCAGCACUUGUACGACUUAUGUAUUAUAUGGGCUUCGUGGUGUCACCUCCUACGAUUCUUUUGUUAUCUUGAGUUCUUUUCUUCUUGGCUGUUAUCAUACGUUAUUAUUACCUGUUGAAAUUACGUAGACCAUUUUCCUUUUUCUUUACUUUCUGAUACUGAUUUCAAUAAGAAGUAUGGAAUCCUUAUCCUUCGC